CAUAAAACAAUAGGAAUUUCCAGAGUCCUGAUUAAAUUACUGGCGUCUGUUUCCCUUACGUUGGCCAACAGAAAGCGUUUCAUUAUGAAGGUAAGACGCUUCCUUGCCGUUGCCUGAAUUUCUUCCACAAAGCUUAGGGUUAUCAUUUGUCCACUCUUAAAGUGCCAGCACGGUUUUCUGAUAUCUGCUCUUUCAUUUCAAUUUAGACGUUUUUGAUGGCAUACUUGUCUUCUACAGGUUUAAAUUACAUACAAGCCAUGCGUUUGGAUGAGCAUGAGUUCUCUGGAACAGCAUAGUGCCUACUAUGUAGUUAGGAAAGCUUAGUCAUGUGGUUUCAGGAUUUGGAGGUUUCACUAUGGUCUGUUUUUGCUCUCUGUUCAAGCUCUAAUUCCCUUCUGCAGGCACCCCCCUCUCUGUGCAUAGCUGAAGCAAAAGCCAGAGUUUUGAUUUUAGUGAAGGCUGAAGCCUACUUAUUUUGUCAAGAAGUUGUAAGCGUGAUCGCUGCACUCCUGCCUUCCUUGCAAAGGACACCCCGGAGAGAGCAACAAAUAGAAAAAAAAGAGAGCUUCCCAGCACGAGGAACCCUGGGAUACUUAUCUGCGUGCUUGACCCAGUGCAAAAAUACUGACAGCCAGGCUGUGUUUUGGCCUCAGCAUGGCUCCUGGCUGCCUGGUCUGGGCUAUUUCAGUCUGCGAGGGUACUCUGCAAAGCGGAGAAAAGAAGCCAAGGAUGAAAAGGGAAAUGACUGGUCUACUGUUGCAUUGGGAGGCUGUGCUAGGACACAGAAGAUUCAGAAGCAAGCUCUCAGCGCGAUGGGAAGAUCCAUGGUUGACUGAGUGCUCUGACCGCAGUUUCUGUUCAGCUGGUAUUCAUGCAGAAUGAGUGUGUUAAGAUCUACAGCCUGAUCUUGUUGAGCAGUCAUGCUAAGAAUGUCUUUAAAAUCCAGUGGUGGGAAUAGAGACUUAAAACAGGUAAAGCAACAGUGUAUGGUGAGUAUUUUUGUAACUGUACUUACUGCGCUGUGGGUUUCAGA
ensembl:lncRNA